rnacentral:misc_RNA from 1 species
GCAAACUUGGUCAUUUAGAGGAAGUAAAAGUCGUAACAAGGUUUCCGUAGGUGAACCUGCGGAAGGAUCAUUAUUGAAUAAACUUGAUGUGGUUGUAGCUGGCUCUCUCGGGAGUAUGUGCUCGCCCGUCAUCUUUAUCUUUCCACCUGUGCACUUCUUGUAGAUUUGGAUGUUAACUGUCCGAGGCAACUCGGGUUAGGAGGAAUGUCAAUUCAAUUGGCUUUCCUUGUAAUGUCCAAGUCUAUGUUUUCAUAUACUCCAAAGUAUGUAACAGAAUGUAUUGCUAGGCCUUGUGCCUAUAAACUAUAUACAACUUUCAGCAACGGAUCUCUUGGCUCUCGCAUCGAUGAAGAACGCAGC